AGAGAAAAGAGACUUGAUGGCUUGUG
rnacentral:piRNA from 1 species